UUAAGGGAACACCCCAAAAUUUGCACAUAUCACAUCUGCCCAUACCCCAUUGGUCAGAAUUUGGUUUUCUACAAGGGAAACUGGGAAGUAGGUUUUAUUCCAGUCAGCCCUGUGCCCAGUUAGAAAUCAAGAGUACCUAUGGUUAUUGAAAAUUAGAAUGGAUAUUCUCAUUCUGGGUUCAGUGAGGUACCCCUAACAAAGAAAGAACCUUACACUAUGAAAGAGUUUAACAGGGAGUCCUAAUCCAGAUUAUGGAGUCAGGAAACUAUCUCAGAGAAAGUGAUAGUGAAGCUGAGAUCUGAAAAUGUAAUUAAUAAUCAUAGUGACGACAUUUGCUACUUAGUGCUUACCAAGCAGCGGGCGUUCUUCUAGGGUGAUACUUGCUUUAGGGUGACUGUUGAGGUUUUAGAACUGCAAGUCCAGCAUCCUGGGAAACCCCUCCGUCUGGGGCAAACUGGAGGGUUGGCACUGUGCUGGUGCCGUUGUUACCAUCCACACUUUACAGAAAAGGAAACCAAGGCAUGAAAAGGGCAAAGGGGAUGGUGUUCCACAAGACAGAACUGCGUGUGCACGAACCCUGAAUCAGCAAAAGGUCCGGUACAUUCAAAGAGUGAAUGCCUGUGUCGCUGGCAUUUACUGAAUGUGCAGGAGGUUGGGCCAAGUGAAGGUGGAGAGGAGCCAGGCACCACUCCGCCCACAGAGGUACAUCUUCUGAGUGCCCGAGCAUGGUGUUUGCACUUCCCUUGGCAGUGAUUGGUCCAGGGCAGUGCAUGUGUCCCUGCUCUGGCCAACGGCACUUAGGAAAAAGUCUCCCAUGGGGCUUCUGAGAAAUUCGCCUCGCUAAUAAAGAGUGUAAGCCUCAGAAACCUUGCAGCUUCCACUUUCCCUGUCUCGAACACGUCUCCGAGUCUUCUAUGUGAGGAAGUUGGUCUAACCUACUAGAGGGUAAGAGGUCACAGGGAGGAAAACGAGAGCCAAGACCAACUGACAGCCGUGUGAAUGAGGCCAGCUUGGACCUUUGGGCCCAUCAUAUCAGCAGAACGCUACCAUGUGACCGAGGCCAGGUGCUACAAGGUCUGCACUCACCAUCUUGGGAUCCCCACCCACACCUCACCCGUCACCUGCAGCUGGGUGUGUGAGCAGCCCCAGGGAGAGGCCCGUGCGGCAAAGAACCCAAGCCUCCUGCCUGCCAGCAGUCACGGGUGAGCUUGGAAGUGGAUGUGCAGCCCCUGCCGACGGCCGCGCCCCAGCUGACAACUUCCCUGUGGCUGCAGGAGAGACACUGUGCCAGAGCCACCCAGAGCCACCCAGCAAAGCCACUUCCUGACCCCUGGCCCUCAAAAACCAUAUGAGCACCUGGCCAAGUGCCCGGCGUUGGGAGGUGUUCGGUGUAGUAUGCUGAGAGCCAUGUUUUCUGGCACUGGAAACAAGACACCUGGUUGUGCAGUGUGUGCAGUGCACAAACACGCUGGGCCAAGGGGCUACCUACUGAAAACAACCAACCAACCAUUUUGAGGAUAUCAUUGCUAGAUUGGGAACACCCUGAGGAAAGGAAAUAAGUCUCAAUCUUGUGUUUAUCCCAUGGCUUUUAUAGCAGGGGAAGGAACACAGGCCUGAACCUUGGGAUCUUUGUUGACGCUUCCCAUCAGUCAUCCCACCACUAUUUAUGGAGCAGCUAAUAAGGACCACGUGUCGGGGUUAAAGAAUGAAUGAAACACAAUCCCCGCUCCCAAAGAGCAUACCGGUUGGUCGUCCGAGGCACGCGGUGGCAUUCAUUCCUCAUGUAUCUCUCCCCGUAGCUCUCUUCCGAGUGUCUGGUGCAGGCCCUCACCGCCUGGACAGCGGUCUUGUAAGUGGUCCCUCUGGGGAUGGCCGAACCUCAGGUCACCAUCUCACAGCCGCCACCAGAUGAGAUCGAGCCCCGCGUCGGGCUCCUUGCUCACUGAGGAGCCGGCCUUGGAUUCUUUCUUCCUCCUCCUCUGCCCCUCCCACUCACUCUCAGUCUCUAAGAAAUAAAUAAAAUCUUAAAAA